GAUAAAGUUGGAGCAUGAGAUGUGUAGGUCUAUGAAAUUGGGAAUCUCUAUUAUAUUUAAAUUUCUAAUUUAUUAUGUAUCCAUCUUCUGUUUAAAAUUAAGCUCUGGAUAAUUUCCUUUCCAGGUAAAAGUAGUUAGAUUGAGAUGAGUCAUAUCCUUUCAGUCAUAGGUUCAACACUUGAAAAAAUAUUUUCAAUAACACCAGUGUCUACAGGGUUGGCCAUGGCUUAGUUUUGUUCUUCACUUGGAUUGUGAAAAUGAAUUUUAUUUUCUUGUACCCAUGAACACAGUGACCCCUUACCAAAUUCUUCUUUAGUUCAGUUUCAUGAAAGUUUCCCAUUCUACUCCUUUGUUUAGGGCCAUGGGUGGUCUGCUACUACUAGGAGUCUGCGACUUUUGAUCAGUUUGUCACUCUGUUUUCUAUGCCAUCCAUAUUGGAUUCUUUGGCAUACAUUAAAACUUUUUUUAAUCCUUUGAUUGAGUUAUCUCAAAUAGUUGACCUUGUUUAUGACUUAAUCAAUAGCUACUCAUAAGUUCUGUUCCAUUCCUAAUUGUGUCUUUCCUGCAAGGAAGCAAGGACACUUCCCUAUAUGUGACAUAUACACAUUUUUGGACACGGAUAGGUGUCAAACACUGGAGACAUGCCCCAACAUCUGUUAAUUUAGUUUAACCUGACAUGUUGCUGACUUGGUGAGGACAUCCCUGUAUGAGAAUCAGACUCACACAGACCAAAAAUGGCAGGGGCCAAACUCUAAUUUUGGAAGCCAUUUAAUGAACGGUCAAAGUGGUAAAAAUAAAAAUAAAAAGCUUGAUACAUUCAGAAUGGAAAGAAAAUUUGACUCUACACUCGCACAUCCCAAUAUUAGUGAUGGGCCAAGAUGACUUGUACCCAGUUGUCAGUCGCACUUGCACAUCCCAACGUGGGUGACUGGUGAAGAUGACUUCUGCCCAGCGGUGUGUACCCCAGGGCCAAUGACCUCUGGCUAGUGGAGAAGGGCUUCUGGCAUAUUCUCUUUGGCCCUUGCUUGCAUUGACCUCCCAGUCUUGUGGCCUUUGGCUGAUGUUGCUUGGGUUGUCAUGAUGAUUAAAAAAUUAUAUAUAUUGAUCUCAUGUUUGCUCUUUAGCUACCAUCUUUUGAUUGCUUUGACGCUGCCAAUUUUCAUCAGCCAAAUCAAUUUGUGGGCUGUCUGGAGAUGGAUUACAUGUGGAUGUUUUAUGGAGUAGUGAAGUCUUAUGACUCUGAACAUAAGAAAUAUGUGGUACUGUAUGAUGGUGGAGAUGUGGAAGUGCUCCGUUUAGAUAAAGAGCGUUGGGAGCUUGUUGACAAUGGUCACAAGCCUUGAAGCAACGAAUUGGCCUUUAACUCUAACAAUGUGUUUUUUUUACACCACCAUUCACAGAAGUUAAAUUCAUCGAAAGGUCUAUCUAAAAAAGGAUUGUGAGUAAUGCCUUCUAAUUCAUAUCUGCAAUCUACAAAUUGUUUUGUGGGAAUUAUAUGUUUAAACGUGCAGAGGCUUGUGGCAGUAUUGGUGCAUGGAUCUAAUUGUAUUUUAUUUUGCAGAUCGUCUGAGAAGAACAUCUACAAGGUUUCAUUUUCAUUAUGAUUUAUUCUAAACAUUUGGCUUAUAAUAGUGUUAGUACAUUUUGAUUAUGUAAUUCUGUCUAGAUAUAUAACCUGUUUCAUAUACUAACCAUUAAAGCUUCAUUAAUUUGUUUAGGACCAUGGAACUGUUAGUUGAGUAUUGAAAGGGUAAAGAGUCCAUGAAAACCAACUAAAACAUUUUGUUUAUAAUGUUAUAGAUAAUCAAAAUCAACUAAAACAUUUCUAACACCAAAAUUAUAAAUUCUGUGCUUACGGAAGCUUAAGCAGAAAUAUCUAUAAAUUCAGGUUGUGAAGAUUUUUAUGUGUUUGAGUUGAAGAAUUAGUCAUCCAAUUUUGAGCACAAUACUGUUUGAACUGACUGCUUCGUUUGUUUGGUUAGAAUACAAGUUAUUUGUAACAUUAAUUUAAUGAGUGAUUACCAAUAGAAUUGUUAAUGACUUUGCAUUACAGUUAUAUCUAUACUAUUAUCUUCUUCUAUCUAUCUAUACUAUACUAUAUGUGAAGGCUUGAGAUGGUGUUAACACAAUGUAAAUUAUAUAGUGAAGUGGAUGGGGCUUGAACAUAAACUUUGGUCUGGGAAACAAUAUCGGCACACAACAUAUAUACUUUCAAAUCAAAAUUUAAAUUUGUAUUAUACAAAUUUUAAUAGCACACCCAUCCACUAGUAACUAAGAAUGUGAAGGGUCUCAAAUGUAUUAUUAGUCAUUGCAAUAUCGUUCAUUGUUUCGUUUUGAACUUGAUGUCUGUUUUGUGCUCUCUUCUUUACGAACUUUGUUAGUAUAUAUUCCUUUCCUUGGUUGACAUAACAUAUUUUGUGUAUCUCCCAAUUUCAGGUGUUGUUUUUGCUUGGAAUCAUCACAAUAUUUCUGGCUUGGAUAUAUUCGGAAAUUUUGGAGUACAAGAAAAAUUCAGUCUUGUUCAAAUCGUUAGUUAGACAGUUCUUCACCUUCAAAUACCAUCUAAUGUUUCUUUUAUGCAGUAUAUAUUCUGUUACAUGUUGUGAGUUUGAAUUAUUCUUUCAGCAAUAUAUGUCUAGGGUUAAAAUCUUUCAUCUCCAUGCAGCCUCUGUUUAAAUUUUAUUGUUAAUUAUUUGAAUUUUUUGAUAAUAUAAACUUCAUACAUUAUUAUUUUAUAUCAUUUUAGAAUUUUCUUUCCGAGUGCAGUGUCUUAUUCACCCUCCAUAAUUUACUUCUCAUUCUCUGAAAGUUUACUAAGAUAUUUUGUUUGAGUAGUGCUAUACAAACAAACUUUUCUUACAAACUGAUGUGUUGUGUUUGUAGAAUUAUUGCCUUUCGUAUACAUAUAGCAUUCCUUUCUCAUUAUUUGAUUCAUAUUUAUAUAGCAUUCUUUUCUUACUGGAUUCAGUCUUGAGUAGAUAAAUACAUUUGCUUGAAUCAUUUUCACUUGUUCUAACUUAUUUUACAGAUUGGGACCAAUUGUAUUCACUGCUUGUCCCAAGAGAAUGACAGUGUUUCUCCAUCCAGUGUGAGGAAUGUCAUAAGCUCAUUUAAUCUGGACGAUUCCCAAAAGGCCGUUGUUCUAAGUUGUGUUGCUACAAGAGAA